rnacentral:rRNA from 1 species
UACGUAGGGUGCAAGCGUUUAAUCGGAAUUACUGGGCGUAAAGCGUGCGCAGGCGGUGAUGUAAGACAGUUGUGAAAUCCCCGGGCUCAACCUGGGAACUGCAUCUGUGACUGCAUGGCUGGAGUGCGGCAGAGGGGGAUGGAAUUCCGCGUGUAGCAGUGAAAUGCGUAGAUAUGCGGAGGAACACCGAUGGCGAAGGCAAUCCCCUGGGCCUGCACUGACGCUCAUGCACGAAAGCGUGGGGAGCAAACAGG